rnacentral:tRNA from 1 species
GUCUCUGUGGCGAAUUGGUUAGCGCGUUCGGCUGUUAACAGAAAGGUUGCUGGUUCAAGCCCAGCCAGGGACG